UUCACCAGAUCCCCAAAAUUA
ensembl:piRNA 21ur-14420 ncRNA